rnacentral:rRNA from 1 species
CGGAGGGUGCAAGCGUUAUCCGGAUUCACUGGGUUUAAAGGGUGCGUAGGCGGGCAGGUAAGUCCGUGGUGAAAUCCUAUAGCUUAACUAUAGAACUGCCAUGGAUACUAUUUGUCUUGAAUAUCGUAGAGGUAAGCGGAAUAUGUCAUGUAGCGGUGAAAUGCUUAGAUAUGACAUAGAACACCAAUUGCGAAGGCAGCUUGCUAUGCGAUUAUUGACGCUGAGGCACGAAAGCGUGGGUAGCAAACAGGAUUAGAUACCCUGGUAGUCCACGCCCUAAACGAUGAUAACUCGACAUACGCGAUAUACUGUGUGUGUCUGAGCGAAAGCAUUAAGUUAUCCACCUGGGAAGUACGAUCGCAAGAUUG